rnacentral:rRNA from 1 species
AUUGAACGCUGGCGGCAGGCCUAACACAUGCAAGUCGAGCGGUAGAGAGGUGCUUGCAUCUCUUGAGAGCGGCGGACGGGUGAGUAAUGCCUAGGAAUCUGCCUGGUGGUGGGGGAUAACGUUCGGAAACGGACGCUAAUACCGCAUACGUCCUACGGGAGAAAGCGGGGGAUCUUCGGACCUCGCGCCAUUAGAUGAGCCUAGGUCGGAUUAGCUAGUUGGUGAGGUAAUGGCUCACCAAGGCGACGAUCCGUAACUGGUCUGAGAGGAUGAUCAGUCACACUGGAACUGAGACACGGUCCAGACUCCUACGGGAGGCAGCAGUGGGGAAUAUUGGACAAUGGGCGGAAAGACCUGAUCCAGCCAUGCUGCGUGUGUGAAGAAGGUCUUCGGAUUGUAAAGCACUUUAAGUU